rnacentral:rRNA from 1 species
CGAUGCCUAAGACAUGCAAGUCGAACGAAGUGACCCAUUGAAGUGGAGUGCUUGCACAAAACUGAUUGGAUUAUCACUUAGUGGCGCAAGGGUGAGUAACACGUGGGUAAUCUGCCUUGAGACUGGGAUAACAGUUGGAAACGACUGCUAAUACCGGAUGAUAUGUAUGACACAAAGUUGUAUAUUAAAAGGGGCCUUUAAAGCUUCACUUAAAGAUGAGCCUGCGGCGCAUUAGCUAGUUGGUAAGGUAAUGGCUUACCAAGGCAACGAUGCGUAGCCGAACUGAGAGGUUGAUCGGCCACAUUGGGACUGAGACACGGCCCAAACUCCUACGGGAGACAGCAGUUAGGAAUAUUCGUCAAUGGAGGAAACUCUGAACGAGCAAUGCCGCGUGAAUGAAUGACGGUCCUUUGGAUUGUAAAAUUCUGUUGUUGAGGAAGAACUACUAAUAUAGGAAAUGAUAUUAGUUUGACGGUACUCUUCAAGAAAGCUCCGGCUAACUACGUGCCAGCCGCGGC